ACCACCUCCACUGCCCUGCCCUGGGUAAGCUAGCAACACACACGUGGCUGUGGGUACUGAGCUGAAGCUGACCUCUGACUGGCAGGACACCAUCCAGUGGGACUCGCUGUGGUAAUAGAUUCACCACUGAACACCUUGCUGAUUUGCAAGGAAAGUUUGUGCAGCACAGGUGCAGGUGCUACCUUGGAACACCACACCCUUGUCUCAGAAUAUGCUUUUGGGAGAACCCACUAGAAGAGAGUCUUUUAAAGGUAACCACUUCAACUUUAAUCUACCUGCCGAUCUUGAGGAAUAUUGCUGCCAUAUGUUGUGAUGAAGUACCUCAAAGUGUGCAUAUUGCUGGCUACUGCCUCAUGUCUAUCAUCAGAAUUCAUGAUUACAUCUAAUGUAGGGACAGAAACUCGGGGGAAGAGAUCCAAGAAAGUGAAACAUAAGCCACACAGAG